rnacentral:rRNA from 1 species
GACGAACGCUGGCGGCGUGCUUAACACAUGCAAGUCGAACGGAAAGGCCCUUCGGGGUACUCGAGUGGCGAACGGGUGAGUAACACGUGGGUGAUCUGCCCUGCACUUUGGGAUAAGCCUGGGAAACUGGGUCUAAUACCGAAUAUGAUCAUGCUCUUCAUGGGGUGUGGUGGAAAGCUUUUGCGGUGUGGGAUGGGCCCGCGGCCUAUCAGCUUGUUGGUGGGGUAAUGGCCUACCAAGGCGACGACGGGUAGCCGGCCUGAGAGGGUGACCGGCCACACUGGGACUGAGAUACGGCCCAGACUCCUACGGGAGGCAGCAGUGGGGAAUAUUGCACAAUGGGCGCAAGCCUGAUGCAGCGACGCCGCGUGAGGGAUGACGGCCUUCGGGUUGUAAACCUCUUUCAGCACAGACGAAGCGCGAGUGACGGUAUGUGCAGAAGAAGGACCGGCCAACUACGUGCCAGCAGCCGCAGUAA